rnacentral:rRNA from 1 species
AGCUCCAAUAGCGUAUAUUAAAGUUGUUGCAGUUAAAAAGCUCGUAGUUGGAUUUCUGCUGGGAGACGCCAGUCCGCUCUUAGGAGUGUGCACUUGGUAAAUCUCAGCUUCCUCCUGGUAUUGCAUUCUUUACUUAACUGUGAGGGGUGUAUUUCCAGGACUUUUACUUUGAGAAAAUUAGAGUGUUUCAAGCAGGCUUGUUGCCUUGAAUACUGCAGCAUGGAAUAAUAAGAUAGGAUUUCGGUUCUAUUUUGUUGGUUUCUAGGACUGAAGUAAUGAUUAAUAGGGACAGUUGGGGGCAUUCGUAUUUAACUGUCAGAGGUGAAAUUCUUAGAUUUGUUAAAGACGAACUACUGCGAAAGCAUUUGCCAAGGAUGUUUUCAUUAAUCAAGAACGAAAG